rnacentral:misc_RNA from 1 species
GAAAUUCGAUAAGUAAUGUGAAUUGCAGAAUUCAGUGAAUCAUCGAAUCUUUGAACGCACCUUGCUCUCCUUGGUAUUCCUUGGAGCAUGCCUGUUUGAGUAUCAUGAAAUCUUCAAAGUAAAUCUUUUGUUAACUCAAUUGGUUUCUACUUUGGUAUUGGAGGUCUUUGCAGCUUCACACCUGCUCCUCUUUGUUCAUUAGCUGGAUCUCAGUGUUAUGCUUGGUUCCACUCGGCGUGAUAAGUUAUCUAUCGCUGAGGACACUGUAAAAGGUGGCCAAGGUAAAUGCAGAUGAACCGCUUCUAAUAGUCCAUUGACUUGGACAAUACUUUUAUGAUCUGAUCUCAAAUCAGGUAGGACUACCCGCUGAACUUAAGC